rnacentral:rRNA from 1 species
GGGCUGCAGCAAGGAAUAUUGUGCAAUGGGCGAAAGCCUGACACAGCGACGCCGCGUGGGGGAUGAAGGCUUUCGGGUUGUAAACCCCUUUUCUCAGGGAAGAAUAAUGACGGUACCUGAGGAAUAAGUCUCGGCUAACUACGUGCCAGCAGCCGCGGUAAUACGUAGGAGGCAAGCGUUAUCCGGAUUUAUUGGGCGUAAAGCGCGUGUAGGCGGCUCUUCAAGUCGGAUGUAAAAUCUCCCGGCUCAACCGGGAGGGCCCAUUCGAUACUGCUGGGCUAGAGUGCAGCAGAGGGAGGUGGAAUUCCCGGUGUAGUGGUGAAAUGCGUAGAUAUCGGGAGGAACACCAGUGGCGAAGGCGGCCUCCUGGGCUGCAACUGACGCUGAGACGCGAAAGCGUGGGGAGCGAACAGGAUUAGAUACCCGUGUAGUC